rnacentral:tRNA from 1 species
GUUCCCAUAGUUCAAUGGAUAGAAUUGUGGUUUCCGGUACCACCGAUGGGGGUUCGAAUCCCUCUGGGAACAC